CCUACGGGAGGCUGCAGUGGGGAAUAUUGCACAAUGGGGGAAACCCUGAUGCAGCGACGCCGCGUGAGUGAAGAAGUAUUUCGGUAUGUAAAGCUCUAUCAGCAGGGAAGAAAAUGACGGUACCUGAUUAAGAAGCCCCGGCUAACUACGUGCCAGCAGCCGCGAUAAUACGUAGGGGGCCAGCGUUAUCCGGAUUUACUGGGUGUAAAGGGGGCGUAGACGGCAGCACAAGUCUGGAGUGAAAUGCCGGGGCUUAACCCCGGAACUGCUGUGGAAACUGGGCAGCUAGAGUGCAGGAGAGGUAAGUGGAAUGCGUAGUGUAGCGGUGAAAUGCGUAGAUAGUAGGAGGAACACCAGUGGCGAAGGCAGCUUACUGGAGUGCAACUGACGUUGAGGCUCGAAAGCGUGGGGAGCAAACAGGAUUAGAUACCCGGGUAGUC
rnacentral:rRNA from 1 species